rnacentral:rRNA from 1 species
AAAAGCUCAAAUUUGAAAUCUGGCUCUUUCAGAGUCCGAGUUGUAAUUUGAAGAAGGUAUCUUUGGGUCUGGCUCUUGUCUAUGUUUCUUGGAACAGAACGUCACAGAGGGUGAGAAUCCCGUGCGAUGAGAUGAUCCAGGCCUAUGUAAAGUUCCUUCGAAGAGUCGAGUUGUUUGGGAAUGCAGCUCUAAGUGGGUGGUAAAUUCCAUCUAAAGCUAAAUAUUGGCGAGAGACCGAUAGCGAACAAGUACAGUGAUGGAAAGAUGAAAAGAACUUUGAAAAGAGAGUGAAAAAGUACGUGAAAUUGUUGAAAGGGAAGGGCUUGAGAUCAGACUUGGUAUUUUGUAUGUUACUUCUUCGGGGGUGGCCUCUACAGUUUAUCGGGCCAGCAUCAGUUUGGGCGGUAGGAGAAUUGCGUUGGAAUGUGGCACGGCUUCGGUUGUGUGUUAUAGCCUUCGUCGAUACUGCCAGCCUAGACUGAGGACUGCGGUUUAUACCUAGGAUGUUGGCAUAAUGAUCUUAAGUCGCCCGCUG